AUUUUGUGUACUCAUAUUUCUGUGUUGAAAACACAACUUUGUGAGUUCAGAUGUUAAGGCAGAGUAUGUAGAAAUAGAAAUGUGUAGAAAGACUAUUUAAUAAAACUGAACUGUUGAGUGUAAAAUGAUAACCAGGGUUAAGGUACACGGAGAUGUCCUGACACAAGAAAAUAUUGUUGCUCAAUUCUGUGUCUUAUAAAAUUAUAGCAGAUUCCCCUGUCCUGUCACAAAAUGCUAAUGUCGGCUAACUAUCUUCAUUGCUAUAAAGCUUAUGUUUGUACCAAACAAACAUAUUUCGCCAAGGUUCAACACAUUUUCACAAUUCACAUGAUCCCAGGUGGGAAACAAUACUGUCCAAGUGAAGCUGAAAUUAAGAAAAUGUCCCAAAAAUCAACAGAGGACCGACUGUGAGAUUGAUGAGAUAACUGAAAAUAACUGGAACAUUUAGCCAACAAGUUUCUAAUUUCUAUUUUUAUUACAAAAACAAUCAUUAACCAAAUAGUUACAGUGCUUUCCAUUCAAACUCUUUGUGUAGUCAGGUCAAAAUCAGACACACGCCUCCUGAAUUCAAAAUCCAACAUGGCGGCCCCAUGCAUCAACAGUUGAGAAAGCUGUAGUAACAUACAGUUAUUAACCCUUCUGUCUUAUUUGUGUCUCACCGACUUCUACAUGUUGUUACGCUGUUUGUAUGCACAAAAACCAGCGUAAUGUGUUGUCAUCAACUGGUAUUGCUAACAGGGGCUAAGCUGUCUAGAGCUAAUAAAAACAAUGAAAACCUGACUUGUAAAUGGGACGCAUUCAACUCGGAUGGGACGUCAUUCCCAGCUCCGGCUCCCGAGUUCCUGGGUAAAUGGAACGCACCACGAGCAUGUUAAGGACUAGGUGCACUUUAAGAGAGAUGAGACGCUGAUGAAGAAGUCGUCAAAAUACGUUGGAAAUGUGAUGUUAAAUAAUGUCAUUGGUAGAUGUGAAGGACGCAGAUCAGUCUUAACAGUUUGUGUGUCUUUACAGCAUUGCAGUUAAGAUGGUGUAUAAAUGUAUAACUGCAUUCAUUAAAGUAAUGAAUAUAUAUUUAUCAAACAAAGGUCAUGUAGUGUGAAAAUGAAUACCGUUCAACAAUUUCGGAUGAUACAUUGUUUCAUUUUCUUUGUGAUAGUGAGAUCACUAGCUCAUGUCUGUGCAUUUAGUAGGGAGCUGGAGUCAGGGUGGGGAUAGCCUAGCUUAGCAUGAAGACUAGAAGCAUGGGUAAACAGCUAGCCUGGCUCUGUCCCAAGUUCAAAAAUACACCUGCUGAAAUCUGUACUCACAAACUGGCAAUACUGCACAGAAGCAGAGGGAGGAUGGAUACACGGCUGUUCUUCAAGAAAUAGUUCCAGCAUGUAACUCCCCCCCCCCCUCCCGGUUUGUGUGUGACUUAAACAAACAGGAUGCAGAAUGUAAUUUUAUAUGGCCUUUUGUUAUAAUAUGCGUGUUAGAAAUGAUAGUUGGUGCUUCAUUUUUGGGACUAUAAUGAAACAAUGGAGCCUCUGAGGCAGUGAUUCUCAAAGUGGGGUCUGUGGCCAGGGGGGAGGGGGGGUCUAUGAAAUGUUUUCAGAUGUAUUUAUUUAAAUUAUGAUAUGUAGUGUAUACUCUCUAUAUAUAUAUACACAGUACAUACAAGAGCUCCUAAUUCAUUCAUUGUUCAAAACACAUCUCUAUGAAUACACGUCUAACAUCUUUAAUACAUUUCUUGUAUGUUGUUCUUUCACAUAAGACUAUAGAGGUGUACCACAAAAAAGUCAACGUAUUUAAUGGGACAUACAUGAGGGGUCCCCGGUGUAUUCUCUCUUGUAAGGGGUCCUUGGCUGGCUGAAGCAACCUUAAGCUAAAUUGUUGUCAGUUUGGGUGACCACUGCUGAAUAAUGUUGGAAAGCAACGGGUAAAUAAAAUCCAGUAAAAUGACCUUUCAACUUUUUCACACUCCACAGUUGCAUGUUGACAUGUGUGUUCUGAAUCAGCCACCAGAUGGAGACACAGAGUCGCUGAGUCUCUGUGGUCCAUGUCAGCCUGGAGCAGAACAGAUUCCCCCUGCAAUGAGUGUUGGGAUGGAGUUGAAGUUUUACAGCAUGGAAACAUGCAGCUGGAUCAGACUUUGGCCUACACAGGCAACAAUUGUAGUUUGGUUUUAGUCUCUUUGGUGGAAUAGUUGAUU